UUGAACGCUGGCGGCAUGCCUUACACAUGCAAGUCGAACGGUAACGGGCCUUCGGGUGCCGACGAGUGGCGAACGGGUGAGUAAUACAUCGGAACGUGCCCGAUCGUGGGGGAUAACGAGGCGAAAGCUUUGCUAAUACCGCAUACGAUCUACGGAUGAAAGCAGGGGACCGCAAGGCCUUGCGCGGACGGAGCGGCCGAUGGCAGAUUAGGUAGUUGGUGGGAUAAAAGCUUACCAAGCCGACGAUCUGUAGCUGGUCUGAGAGGAUGAUCAGCCACACUGGGACUGAGGCACGGCCCAGACUCCUACGGGAGGCAGCAGUGGGGAAUUUUGGACAAUGGGCGCAAGCCUGAUCCAGCCAUGCCGCGUGCAGGAUGAAGGCCUUCGGGUUGUAAACUGCUUUUGUACGGAACGAAAAGCCUUCUUUUAAUACAGGAGGGUCAUGACGGUACCGUAAGAAUAAGCACCGGCUAACUACGUG
rnacentral:rRNA from 1 species